rnacentral:rRNA from 1 species
AUUGAACGCUGGCGGCAGGCCUAACACAUGCAAGUCGAACGAGUGGCGGACGGGUGAGUAAUGUCUGGGCAACUGCCUGAUGGAGGGGGAUAACUACUGGAAACGGUAGCUAAUACCGCAUACCAUCGGAUGUGCCCAGAUGGGAUUCGCUAGUAGGUGGGGUAAAGGCUAACCUAGGCGACGAUCCCUAGCUGGUCUGAGAGGAUGACCGGCCACACUGGAACUGAGACCCGGUGCAGACGCCUCCGGGAGGCAGCAGUGGGGAAUAUUGCACAAUGGGCGCAAGCCUGAUGCAGCCAUGCCGCGGGGAUGAAGAAGGCCUUCGGGUUGUAAAGUACUUUCAGCGGGGAGGCGUUACCCGCAGAAGAAGCGCCGGCUAACUCCGUGCCAGCCGCCGCGGUAAUUC